rnacentral:rRNA from 1 species
GCGUGGGUAACCUGCCCUGUACAGGGGGAUAACAGUUAGAAAUGACUGCUAAUACCGCAUAAGCAUACGGAGAGGCAUCUCUCUGUGUGAAAAACUCCGGUGGUACAGGAUGGGCCCGCGUCUGAUUAGCUUGUUGGCAGGGUAAGAGCCUACCAAGGAAAAAAUCAGUAACCGUUCUUUGGGGAAAAACGGCCCCAUUGGAAGUGAGACACGGUCCAAACUCCUGCGCGAGGCAGCAGUGGGGAAUAUUUCAAA